CCUGGUUGAUCCUGCCAGUAGUCAUAUGCUUGUCUCAAAGAUUAAGCCAUGCAUGUGUAAGUACAGGCCGACUUAAGGCGAAACCGCGGACGGCUCAUUAAAUCAGAUAUAACUCAUUGGAUCUCUGCUGAACCGCAUUACUUGGAUAACUGUGGUAAUUCUAGAGCUAAUACAUGCCUUUGUAGUCUCCGACCGCGAGGGAGGAGCGCUUUUAUUAGACCAAAACCCUCGGCAGCCGGUUCCCGCAAGGGGCCGGCCGCACACAUCUUGGUGAAUCAGAAUAACUUUUGCCGAGCGCACGACCCCUCCCGUAACCCGGGUUGGGUCGGCGCCGCGUCCUGCAGGCGUCUGCCUUAUCAGCUCUCGAUUGUAGGUUAAACGCCUACAAUGGCUAUCACGGGUAACGGGGAAUCAGGGUUCGAUUCCGGAGAGGGAGCCUGAGAAACGGCUACCACAUCUAAGGAAGGCAGCAGGCGCGCAAAUUACCCACUCCCGGCACGGGGAGGUAGUGACGAAAAAUACUGUUGCGAGCCCCGAACGGGGCCUCGCAAUUGGAAUGAGUACACUUUAAAUCCUUGUACGAGGAUCGAGUGGAGGGCAAGUCUGGUGCCAGCCGCCGCGGUAAUUCCAGCUCCACUAGCGUAUAUUAAAGUUGUUGCGGUUGAAACGCUCGUAGUUUGACUUCUGCUCCGGACCGGCGGUCCGCCUUAGCGGCGGCUACUGCCGGGUUCCGAGCUGUGUCCCCGCCGGCGCACAUGGGGUUUUUAUGCCCUUAACCGGGUGUCCCCUUGUGGCCGGCACGUUUACUUUGAAAAAAUUAGAGUGCUCAGAGCAGGCUGGUUUUUGCUUACAGCCCGAAUGGUCGUGCAUGGAAUGAUGGAACAGGACCUCGGUUCUAUUUUGUCGGUUUUUCGGAACCCGAGGUAAUGAUUAAUAGAAGCAGACGGGGGCAUUCGUACUGCGACGCUAGAGGUGAAAUUCUUAGACCGUCGCAUGACGACCUACUGCGAAAGCAUCUGCCAAGGAUGUUUUCAUUGAUCAAGAACGAAAGUUAGAGGUUCGAAGGCGAUCAGAUACCGCCCUAGUUCUAACCUUAAACGAUGCUGACUAGCGAUCCGCCGCAGUUAUUCCCAUGACCCGGCGGGUAGCUUCCGGGAAACCAAAGUCUUUGAGUUCCGGGGGAAGUAUGGUUGCAAAGCUGAAACUUAAAGGAAUUGACGGAAGGGCACCACCAGGAGUGGAGCCUGCGGCUCAAUUUGACUCAACACGGGGAAACUCACCAGGCCAGGACACCGGAAGGAUUGACAGAAUGAAGGCUCUUUCUCGAUUCGGUGGGUGGUGGUGCAUGGCCGUUCUUAGUUGGUGGAGUGAUCUGUCUGGUUAAUUCCGAUAACGAACGAGACUCUAGCCUGCUAAAUAGUCGACGGAUCUCAACCCCGUUGCCCCCGUUGUCGUUCGCGGCGAUGCGGGGCGCGGGUUCCCCGAAACCCGGUCGUCGUGCGGCCCCACCAGGCGGUCUCUUCAUCGACGACAUGUACUUCUGCGGCGGUUCCCUCAUCUCCAGCGAGUGGGUCCUCACGGCCGCCCACUGCAUGGACGGCGCGGCUUCGUCGAAGUGGUCCUGGGCGCCCACAACAUCCGCCAGAACGAAGCCAGCCAGGUCUCCAUUACCUCCACCGACUUCUUCACUCACGAGAACUGGAACUCUUGGCUCCUCACCAACGACAUUGCCCUCAUCAGGCUGCCCAGCCCCGUUUCACUCAACUCCAACAUCAAGACCGUCAAGCUGCCUUCCAGCGACGUGUCUGUGGGAACCACCGUCACGCCCACAGGCUGGGGCCGCCCUUCCGACUCUGCCAGCGGUAUCUCCGAC
rnacentral:rRNA from 1 species